AAAUGCGAUAAUUAAUGUGAAUUGCAGAAUUCAGUGAAUCAUCGAGUCUUUGAACGCACAUUGCGCCCCCUGGUAUUCCGGGGGGCAUGCCUGUCCGAGCGUCAUUGCUGCCCUCAAGCACGGCUUGUGUGUUGGGCUUCCGUCCCUGGCAACGGGGACGGGCCCAAAAGGCAGUGGCGGCACCAUGUCUGGUCCUCGAGCGUAUGGGGCUUUGUCACCCGCUCCCGUAGGUCCAGCUGGCAGCUAGCCUCGCAACCAAUCUUUUUAACCAGGUUGACCUCAGAUCAGGUAGGGAUACCCGCUGAACUUAAGC
rnacentral:misc_RNA from 1 species